GGUGGGUGCCGUGGCACACACCUGUAGUCCCAGCUACUUGGAGGCUGAGGCAGGAGGAUCACUUAAGCCCAGUUCAGAGCCAGUCUGGACAACAUGGUGAGACCCUUU
rnacentral:sRNA from 1 species